rnacentral:rRNA from 1 species
UACAGGGGGUGCAAACGUUGCUCGGAAUUAUUGGGCGUAAAGCGCGCGUAGGCGGCUACCUAAGUCGGAUGUGAAAGCCCCCGGCUCAACUGGGGAGGGUCACGCGAUACUGAUCGACUCGAAGGCAGGAGAGGGUAGUGGAAUUCCCGGUGUAGUGGUGAAAUGCGUAGAUAUCGGGAGGAACACCAGUGGCGAAGGCGACUACCUGGCCUGUUCUUGACGCUGAGGCGCGAAAGCUAGGGGAGCAAACGGG